rnacentral:rRNA from 1 species
AUUGAACGCUGGCGGCAGGCCUAACACAUGCAAGUCGAGCGAGCGGCGGACGGGUGGGUACUGUCUGGGAAACUGCCUGAUGGAGGGGGAUAACUACUGGAAACGGUAGAUAAUACCGCAUAACAUCAGCUGUGCCCAAAUGGGAUUAGCUAGUAGGUAGGGUAAAGGCUCACCUGGGCGACGAUCCCUAGCUGGUCUGAGAGGAUGACAAGCCACACUGGACCUGAGACACGGUCCAGACUCCUACGGGAGGCAGCAGUGGGGAAUAUUGCACAAUGGGCGCAAGCCUGAUGCAGCCAUGCCGCGUGUGUGAAGAAGGCCUUCGGGUUGUAAAGCACUUUCAGCGAGGAGGCGUUACUCGCAGAAGAAGCACCGGCUAACUCCGUGCCAGCAGCCGCGGUAAUUC